UCCCUAUUCACCUUUUUGCCAACAUUAGGGCUCCAAUCCCUGAGUUGAGCCGUUUUAGACAUAGGGCCUUCAUUCCCUAGUCGCCAUUUUGCCAAUAUUAGGGCUCCAAUCCCUGACUUGAGCCUUUUAGUCAUAGGGCCUCCAUUCCUUAGUCGUCUUUUUGCCAACAUUAGGGCUCCAAUCUCUGAGUUGAGCCUUUUUAGACAAAGGGUCUCCAUUCCCUAGUCGCCUUUUUGCCAUCAUUAGGGUUCUAAUCCCUGAGUUGAGCCUUUUAGAAAUAGGACCUCCAUUCCCUGGUCGCCUUUUUUGCCAUUAUUGGGGCUCCAAUCCCUAAGUUAAGCCUUUAGACAUAGGGCCUCCAUUCCUUAGUCGCCUAUUUUGCCAACAUUAGGGUUCCAAUCCCUGAGUUGAGCCCUUUUAGACAUAGGGCCUCCAUUCCCUAGUCGCCUUUUUGCCAUCAUUAAGGCUCCAAUCCCUGAGUAGAGCCUUUUAGACAUAGGGCCUCC
rnacentral:lncRNA from 1 species